rnacentral:tRNA from 1 species
GCCCGAAUGGUGAAAUCGGUAGACGCAUCGCACUUAAAAUGCGACGGCCUUUGGUCGUGCCGGUUCGACCCCGGCUUCGGGCACCA